GAUGAACGCUAGCGGCAGGCUUAAUACAUGCAAGUCGUGGGGCAGCGCAGUGUAGCAAUACAUGGGCGGCGACCGGCAAACGGGUGCGGAACACGUACGCAACCUUCCUUCAAGUGGGGAAUAGCCCAGAGAAAUUUGGAUUAAUACCCCGUAAUAUUGUGAAAUGGCAUCAUUUUAUAAUUAUAGCUACGGCGCUUGAAGAUGGGCGUGCGCCUGAUUAGGUAGUUGGCGGGG
rnacentral:rRNA from 1 species